GACGGAGGGUGCAAGCGUUGUUCGGAAUUACUGGGCGUAAAGCGCGCGUAGGCGGCUCGGCAAGUCGGGCGUGAAAUGCCGGGGCUCAACCCCGGGACUGCGUCCGAUACUUCCGAGCUGGAGGUAGGUAGGGGAGAUCGGAAUUCCUGGUGUAGCGGUGAAAUGCGCAGAUAUCAGGAGGAACACCGGUGGCGAAGGCGGAUCUCUGGGCCUUACCUGACGCUGAGGCGCGAAAGCUAGGGGAGCGAACAGG
rnacentral:rRNA from 1 species